GUUUUGAACUUGUCCUUCAGGGUGCCCAUGUGCCGCUCCCUGGGGUUGUCUGGCUGCAGAGGAGGUUGGGUGCCAGUGCCAGCAUUUUUGGGAUGGUUGAAUGGCCUCCAAGCUGCUUUGUGUGAAGACUCUGCUCCCUUCCAGCUUGUGCUUUGCCAAGUCCAUUAUCCACCUUGGAUGGCAGUUUGCAAACUGCAGCCACCCGUUAUCCCAAGAUGUUGCUGCUGGAUUUUUCCAGGUUCUUGUCACUGGUGAGCACUCACAGAACAUCUGCAAGCAGCAGGAGGGGAUGGCACGGCCUGUUCCCCUGGCAGAUGACAUCUGUAACACUGUGCUGAGCUCCUGGACAGCAUCCAGACAGGGGAGCUGGGAGACAUCACCUCCAAAAUUCAGCCAGGGUGCCACGAGGAGAAAGGAAAUCCUGAAGAGAGCUGGCCUGCAGCAAGGUACAGAACAGGACAAUUUAAAUCAAGCAAUCUCUCCCCUUUCUUGGCCUGGAGUUGGCUGUGUCAGUCUUCAGUUUUCAAGGGG
rnacentral:lncRNA from 1 species